rnacentral:lncRNA from 1 species
CCAUCAUAGCGGAAUUAUAAUCCAUCACUUUAUCAAAGUCUUUGAACUUUAGACUUUGCCAUUCAUCCCGAACAAGUGGGAGAUUUAUUGCCUUUCGAUUAUCAAAUCGAGCUUUUAGGGAUUCCCAUAUCUCUUUGGGAUCUUUUAUGUGUGCAUAAUCACAUAUGAUAUUUUCAUCAAGGUGUCUUAAAAUAAAGAUCACCGAUUUUUCCCUUUCUUGAACCGUCGAAGUAUUAUUCUCUUUUAGGGUUUUUAUUAAGCCAAGAGAUUGUAAAUGUAGUUCAACGUUGGCAAUCCAAAAUAUAUAAUUGGAUAAAGUGAUGU